AACGAACGCUGGCGGCAUGCCUAACACAUGCAAGUCGAACGAGACCUUCGGGUCUAGUGGCGCACGGGUGCGUAACGCGUGGGAACCUUCCCUUAGGUUCGGAAUAACUCCCCGAAAGGGGUGCUAAUACCGGAUAAUGUCUUCGGACCAAAGAUUUAUCGCCUUUGGAUGGGCCCGCGUUGGAUUAGCUAGUUGGUAGGGUAAAAGCCUACCAAGGCGAAGAUCCAUAGCUGGUCUGAGAGGAUGAUCAGCCACACUGGGACUGAGACACGGCCCAGACUCCUACGGGAGGCAGCAGUGGGGAAUAGUGGACAAUGGGCGAAAGCCUGAUCCAGCAAUGCCGCGUGAGUGAUGAAGGCCUUAGGGUUGUAAAGCUCUUUUACCCGGGAUGAUAAUGACAGUACCGGGAGAAUAAGCUCCGGCUAACUCCGUG
rnacentral:rRNA from 1 species